UACGUAGGGUGCGAGCGUUGUCCGGAAUUAUUGGGCGUAAAGAGCUUGUAGGCGGUCUGUCGCGUCGGAUGUGAAAAUCCAGGGCUCAACCCUGGACCUGCAUUCGAUACGGGCAGACUAGAGUUCGGUAGGGGAGACUGGAAUUCCUGGUGUAGCGGUGAAAUGCGCAGAUAUCAGGAGGAACACCGGUGGCGAAGGCGGGUCUCUGGGCCGAAACUGACGCUGAGGAGCGAAAGCGUGGGGAGCAAACAGG
rnacentral:rRNA from 1 species